rnacentral:rRNA from 1 species
UACGUAGGUGGCAAGCGUUGUCCGGAUUUAUUGGGUUUAAAGGGUGCGUAGGCGGCCCUGUAAGUCAGUGCUGAAAUAUCCCAGCUUAACUGGGAGGGUGGCAUUGAUACUGCGGGGCUAGAGUACAGAUGAGGUAGGCGGAAUUGACGGUGUAGCGGUGAAAUGCUUAGAUAUCGUCAAGAACACCUAUAGCGGAGGCAGCUUACUAGGCUGUAACUGACGCUGAGGCACGAAAGUGUGGGGAUCAAACAGG